rnacentral:lncRNA from 1 species
GCUUAUCUCUUUUAUUUUGCCUCUUGCAGGUACUACUGGAGGACAUGACAUUCAGGUGGAGAACCUACCUAAGGUGUCUCCACAGGUGGAGAGGACUCGGAUGGAUGAUUGAGGCAGAGAGGUCCAGCAGGAGUGAGUUGGACCGAGGACUGAUAUCGGUGUUGCCCUACACAAGCCCAAGAGGACCAUCAGGCAACCAGACCGAUAUGGCUUC